rnacentral:rRNA from 1 species
GAUGAACGCUAGCGGCAGGCUUAACACAUGCAAGUCGAGGGGUAACAGGUCUUUNCGGGACGCUGACGACCGGCGCACGGGUGAGUAACGCGUAUGCAAUCUGCCUUCAGCUGGAGGAUAGCCCGGAGAAAUCCGGAUUAAUACUCCAAAUGCUAUCGGACGGCAUCGUCUGAUAUCUAAAGCUCCGGCGGCUGAUGAUGAGCAUGCGUGACAUUAGUUAGUUGGUGAGGUAACGGCUCACCAAGACUACGAUGUCUAUGGGGUCUUAAAGGAUGAUCCCACACACUGGUACUGAGACACGGACCAGACUCCUACGGGAGGCAGCAGUGAGGAAUAUUGGUCAAUGGGCGAAAGCCUGAACCAGCCAUGCCGCGUGAAGGAUGACGGCCCUACGGGUUGUAAACUUCUUUUGUACGGAAAGAACAAAGGCUACGUGUAGCCUCUUGACGGUACCGUACGAAUAAGCAUCGGCUAACUCCGUGCCAGCAGCCGCGGUAAUACGGAGGAUGCAAGCGUUAUCCGGAUUUAUUAGGUUUAAAGGGUGCGUAGGCGGAGUUUUAAGUCAGUGGUGAAAUCUUGUGGCUCAACCAUGAAACUGCCAUUGAUACUAUUGCUCUUGAAUGUAGUUGAGGUAGGCGGAAUGUGGAGUGUAGCGGUGAAAUGCUUAGAUAUUACACAGAACACCAAUUGCGAAGGCAGCUUACUAGACUAUGAUUGACGCUGAGGCACGAAAGCGUGGGGAGCGAACAGGAUUAGAUACCCUGGUAGUCCACGCUGUAAACGAUGAUCACUGGUUGUUGGCGAUACACUGUCAGCGACUGAGCGAAAGCAUUAAGUGAUCCACCUGGGGAGUACGUCGGCAACGAUGAAACUCAAAGGAAUUGACGGGGGCCCGCACAAGCGGAGGAACAUGUGGUUUAAUUCGAUGAUACGCGAGGAACCUUACCUGGGCUUAAAUGUAGCAUGACUGCUGUCGAAGGAUAGUUUCCCUUCGGGGCAAGUUACAAGGUGCUGCAUGGCUGUCGUCAGCUCGUGCCGUGAGGUGUCGGGUUAAGUCCCAUAACGAGCGCAACCCUUAUCGUUAGUUACCAGCGCGUAAAGGCGGGGACUCUAACGAGACUGCCACCGUAAGGUGUGAGGAAGGUGGGGAUGACGUCAAGUCAGCACGGCCCUUACGUCCAGGGCUACACACGUGUUACAAUGGCCGGUACAAAGGGCAGCUACCAGGCGACUGGAUGCUAAUCUCCAAAACUGGUCUUAGUUCGGAUUGAAGUCCGCAACUCGACUUCAUGAAGUUGGAUUCGCUAGUAAUCGCGCAUCAGCCACGGCGCGGUGAUACGUUCCCGGGCCUUGUACACACCGCCCGUCAAGCCAUGGAAGCUGGGGGUACCUGAAGUCCGUAACC